UUGUUGGUGGGGUGAUGGCCUACCAAGGCGGUGACGGGUAGCCGGCCUGAGAGGGCGACCGGCCACACUGGGACUGAGACACGGCCCAGACUCCUGCGGGAGGCAGCAGUGGGGAAUAUUGCACAAUGGGCGAAAGCCUGAUGCAGCGACGCCGCGUGAGGGAUGACGGCCUUCGGGUUGUAAACCUCUUUCAGCAGGGACCAAGCGCAAGUGAGUGUACCUGCAGAAGAAGCACCGGCUAACUACGUGCCAGCAGCCGCGGUAAUACGUAGGGUGCGAGCGUUGUCCGGAUUUAUUGGGCGUAAAGGGCUCGUAGGCGGCCUGUCGCGUCGGAAGUGAAAGCCCACUGCUUAACGGUGGGUCUGCUUCCGGUACGGGCAGGCUGGAGUAUGGCAGGGGAGACUGGAAUUCCUGGUGUAGCGGUGGAAUGCGCAGAUAUCAGGAGGAACACCGGUGGCGAAGGCGGGUCUCUGGGCCAUUACUGACGCUGAGGAGCGAAAGCGUGGGGAGCGAA
rnacentral:rRNA from 1 species